AACACUACCAAACCUGAUCCAUAUUUCAAAACCCAGCCCAAAUUAAUAAAAAACAACCCAGUCCAUAUUAUUUCAGAAAGGUUAAUCCGGUUUGCCAUUGGUUUAGGACUGGUUUAUUCAUUUUUUUUCACAAACUCACUACUUUAGUCUUCAACCAAGUUAGAUACGAGUUAUAUACGCACUUGAAUGGCAAACGCGAUAGAAGUAGUGUUGCGAUUCACAAACGUGAUUUCAUAGGCUAAAUCAGAAACACGCUUUCAUAAAUUCAAUUCUCAUAAACGCGAUUCAUUGGCUUCUCGAGAAAGUGUUUUUCUUCUUUCUACAAAGAUCUCACGAGAAAUCAUGUAAAGUGAAGAAAUCACGUGAAGGAUCAAGGGUAUGAAUAUUGAAGAUCAAUGGUACUUAAAAGGUUAUUGAAGACAAUACAAAAUGAAGAAAAUUCAUUUUAAGUUCCUAGGAGUUUUCGAACAGAAGAACGAUAGAAAACGAGACGAACACACAAGAUUAGGUCAUGCACCAUUAGCGCGCGAGGCAGUGUUUCCACUUCCCCAUGCGCCUCCUGUGCACAGCCGCGGGCAGAAAUUGCAUGCAGCUAUAAAUAGAGACCCUUUCUCACAUUAUUGUUCAUUUAUAAAGCUAGCGGUUUAAGGCAAGGGUCAAACAUUAGAGUUCCAAGGAAGGGGAUCUCCAUCCUCCUCUUGUUCUCUCUAGGGUAUGUUUUUAUAUUGUUUUGUAAUGAUGUUUUGUUGCCAUGAGCAACUAAACCUCUUUGAUUAGAGUUAUAAGAUGAACCCCUUCUUAUUUGUUGGAUUCAAUUAAUAAAGUUUCUAUUUAGUUA